AGUGAACGCUGGCGGUAGGCCUAACACAUGCAAGUCGAACGGCAGCACAGGAGAGCUUGCUCUCUGGGUGGCGAGUGGCGGACGGGUGAGGAAUACAUCGGAAUCUACUUUUUCGUGGGGGAUAACGUAGGGAAACUUACGCUAAUACCGCAUACGACCUACGGGUGAAAGCAGGGGACCUUCGGGCCUUGCGCGAUUGAAUGAGCCGAUGUCGGAUUAGCUAGUUGGCGGGGUAAGGCCAACCAAGGCGACGAUCCGUAGCUGGUCUGAGAGGAUGAUCAGCCACACUGGAACUGAGACACGGUCCAGACUCCUACGGGAGGCAGCAGUGGGGAAUAUCGGACAAUGGGCGCAAGCCUGAUCCAGCCAUACCGCGUGGGUGAAGAAGGCCUUCGGGUUGUAAAGCCCUUUUGUUGGGAAAGAAAUCCAGCUGGCUAAUACCCGGUUGGGAUGACGGUACCCAAAGAAUAAGCACCGGCUAACUUCGUGCCAGCAGCCGCCGUAA
rnacentral:rRNA from 1 species